rnacentral:lncRNA from 1 species
CCCCAUAAGUACUAGGCACUUCAUUCACCUCAUUUUCUUCCUCAAAAUUGUAAAUCUCAAAUCUGCCCAAGUUUUGAUCAUGGCUAUUUUCAUAGCCUCUGCAAUCUCCCUCAACUUCGUAGCCAUAAAACCCCUCACUACAAUCAUAGUCUCCCAUGUUGUAGUCACAAUAAUCCCCAGCUAUCGAAGACAUGUUCCCCUUAUAUUACCUUUUAAACCUACAAAAUAAACAAACA